UAAAAACUCAAAACCGUAAUACCCCUCCUUUAAAUAUUCCUGUUCUUGACAGAUUUGGGGGUUGGAAAUUUUUAAGAGAAGAUAGAAAGACAGAGUUAUGGAUUAUUAGGAGAGGAAAAUUUUUGAAAAGAAGAAACAUUUAAACAUGGGAAAUGAUAGGUUUUUUAUCGUCUUUUUUCCUUGAUUCUUUUGGGGUGGUAAUCGUAGGGGAUUUAGUGACAACUUCGUAAGUCAAAAUUCAUUAAGGGUUCUCUGUAACGGGAAGUUUCUUGAUACGAAUACAGAGCCUUAACAAGUUAAUAGCAGUAAGUUUAAGACUGAAUCGAGGAUAUUUUGAAGUCUUGCUCGACCUCCUCUUCCGUUUGUUUGGGUUCGCGUCUGUGCUCGCAUGAUUGAAAGAUCGUCGCCCUCGAACUCGUAGUCUUAUUUUACUACACUGGAAAAGCAUGUGAUACUAUCCGAGUUCACUAUGAACCUUCAUUUUCCCUUUGCAUCUAGCAUGAGAGACUUUGAGGCUCGAAUCCCUUAUUAUUUCGAGUCCAAAACCAAAGGAAGGAUCCAAAGUUGAAAGAGUUGAAGAUAUUUGAAGACGUUGGAUUAGAAGACCUUUCUUUUUCAUUCUCUUUUCUUUUUUAUUAUUUGUAAUGGGCCUAAAACCUUGUCGUUCUUCAUUUUCCCAUUCAUUGUUUAUUAUUAUGUUUAGUCUAGGACAAGUCCGAAAGAAAAUGGGUUGAAAACCCAAAAAGUCAAAUGAGUUAAAACUCAAUGACAGGUGGGUCCAACUACCGUUCAAGGCGAACAGAAAACUAGGAUUUGGACCCAAAUCUCUCUCCUCUCUA